UUGGGCUGGGUAUUUACUCCCCAGCUCCAUCUCGACCCUGAUUCGAGGCAUAAAAUUUUGCCCCGAGUCCAUCUGCGAUUUACUGGGAAAAAAGAGACGGUGCACUGCGAUCUUCGAAUUAUACAGGCCAAAUUGCCAUUGUUACUUUCUUUCUCUCUCCAUCUGUCUCUCUAUCUUUCUCUCUCUUUCUUUCCCACAUCCAAAUCUAUGAUUAUUUCAUUUAUAUCAAACAAAGAAGAGUGAGACCCAUAAUUCCCAAAGCCAAGCUUGGCCUUGCCUUCUUUCGAUUUUUAAAUUGACUUUCGGUCUCGGAUUUGCCUAAAAUUGAAGGUUUAAGGCUGAAUUUGAAAGGUUGAAACAACUACCCACUAAAGCUCAUCAAUGGAUGGCUAAGAAAAAUCCAAGGCAUUGGUAGAGGUCACACUUUAGAAACCUCCUAAAGUGUGAUAUGCUGUUAAAGCAAUAUGGGUGAAGCGUUUACUUGUGCAAUCAAGAUGCUAGGGACAAGCCUAUCAUAACUUUACUGGAACAUCUACGAGAGUAUAUAAUAGAGAGGAUGCACUACAAGAAGACUGCAACAAGCAAAUAGAAUGUGAAUGUUUGCCUUAGAAUUUCACAGAUUUUAUAGGCUAAUAAGAUAGAGUCUAGAAAUUGCAUCAUAACAUGCUAUGGAGACAGAUAGUUUGAAAUGAGGGUUGUUGAUGGUAUAAGAUAUGUGGUUGAUCUAGAUAGCAAGACUCGCUCUUGUAGGAAAUAGAAACUAUGUAGUAUCCUUUGUCAUCAUGCGAUAUUUACCAUAUAUACUAUAGGAGGAUUAGAGGUUAAAGAAUUUGUUGAUGAAUGCCAUAAGAAAGAAACUUACCUGAAAGUAUACACACCAGUCAUGUACCCAAUGAAUGGUCAAGAGUUAUGAUCUCCAAUUGGUUUGCCAUCUAUUUAGUCACCUAAUUAAGUGCCACAAGUAAUCUGGAAGAUUAAAAAAGUUUAAGACAAGAGAGCUAGGUGAAGUGCAAUCUAACACCAAGGUUAAGGCCAAGAUGAGGAGGUUUAACCUUACAAUGAAAUGUGGAAAAUAUGGUAGGUAAGAUCAUAAUCAAAGAACUUAUGGGAAAGGCAAAACAAUCCCCCAUUUGAAAUGUUUAUUUUGUCCAAUUUAAUAAGUUGAAAUUUAAAUUUUCCAUUGUUUAACUUUAAAGCUAUUCCAUAACUUUUUUGUUAUGUCAAAAGAUUGGAGAGGCUACAAGAAUUCCCUCAGUACACCUACGGACAGCUUCACAUGUCAAUAAACCUUCACCACCACGUUUUUCUACUUUAAAGUGAAACAUCACUGUAGGAAUACACCCACAGGCAGCACAAAGGCUGUAGUAAUACCAAGCGGUGUAAAGGACAAAGAGACAACCAAUCUAAGUUGGCAAAUGAAACAAUUUAUGUUAUAAAAUGAUGCUUUUUCUUGAUUUUGGAACUAUAAUUUGAAUCGUUAUGUUAUUUUUGAUGUGAAAUUCAAGGAUAUAUAUGUGCAGGUAUAUAUAUAUAUAUUUAUAACUUAUUGCAUGGUUA